CUCGCUGCCUUUCCCUCCUCCCCCUCCCCGUUCCCUCCGCACACAAAUCCCUCUCCCUCCCAAUUUCCCUCAAUUCCCCCAUUUUUUCCUAAUUUCCCCCAAUUUCUCCUCAUUCCCCAAUUCCCCCAAUUUCCCCAUUUUUCCCAAAUUCCCUCAAUUCCCCCAUUUUUUCCCAAUUUCCCCCAAUUUCUCCUCAUUCCCCAAUUCCCCCAAAUUCCCCAAUCACCCCCCAAUUUCCUGAAUUUUCCCAAUUCCUCAAAUUCCCCCUUUUCUCCCCAUUUUUCCCAAUUCCCCAAAUUCCUCCAAAUUCCCCAUUUUUCCCCAAUUCCCCAAAUUCCCCCCAAAUUUUCCCAUUUUCCCAAUUCCCCCAAUUCCCCCAAAUUUCCCCAAUUUCCCCCAAUUCCCCCAUUUUUCCCCAUUUCCCCCCAUUUCCCCAAUUUCCCCCCAUUUCCUCUAAUUCCCCCAAUUUCCCAAAUUCCCCCAAUCCCCCCAUUUCUCCCAAUUUCCCCAAAUUCUCCCUUUUCUCCCCAAUUCCCCCCAUUUCCCCAAAUUCCCCCAAUUCCGAUUUUCUCCCCAAUUCCCCCGUUUUUCCCCUUUUUUUUCCCAUUUCCCCCCAUUCUCCCGUUUUCCCCAAUUUCCCCCAUUUCCCAAAUUUCCCCAAUCCCCCCUUUUCUCCCCAAUUUCCCCCAAUUUCCUCUUUUCUCCCCCAAUUCCCCAAAUUGCCCUAAUUCCCCCAAAUUCCCCCCAUUCCCCCAUUUCUCCCGAUUUUUCCCAUUUUCCCCCCAUUUCCCCCAAUCCCCCCUUUUCUCCCCCAAUUCCCCAAUUUCCCCAAAUUCCCUCAAUUCCUCCAUUUAUCCCCAAAUUUCCCAAUUUCCCCCCAAUUUCCCCCCAUUGCCCAAUUUCCCCCAAUUCUCCAAUUUUACCCAAUUCCCCAAAUUCCCCAAAUUUCCCCCAAAUUUCCCCAAUCCCCCCAUUUCUCCCCCAUUUCCCCGAAUUCCCCCAAUUCCGAUUCCGGGGAGCGCCCGUUCUCCUGUCCCGAUUGUGGGAAGGGUUACAUGGCCACGAAAUCGCUGGGGAAACACCGGCAGGCUCGGCACGGAGUGGACAGGGGGUUUAUCUGCCCCGAGUGCGGGAAAAGCCUCUCCACGCACCCCGCGCUGGUCACGCACCUGCGGAUCCACACCGGGGAGCGCCCCUACGAGUGUCCCGACUGCGGGAAGGC
rnacentral:lncRNA from 1 species